AUUGAACGCUGGCGGCAGGCCUAACACAUGCAUGUCGAGCGGAUGAAGGGAGCUUGCUCCUGGAUUCAGCGGCGGACGGGUGAGUAAUGCCUAGGAAUCUGCCUGGUAGUGGGGGAUAACGUCCGGAAACGGGCGCUAAUACCGCAUACGUCCUGAGGGAGAAAGUGGGGGAUCUUCGGACCUCACGCUAUCAGAUGAGCCUAGGUCGGAUUAGCUAGUUGGUGGGGUAAAGGCCUACCAAGGCGACGAUCCGUAACUGGUCUGAGAGGAUGAUCAGUCACACUGGAACUGAGACACGGUCCAGACUCCUACGGGAGGCAGCAGUGGGGAAUAUUGGACAAUGGGCGAAAGCCUGAUCCAGCCAUGCCGCGUGUGUGAUGAAGGUCUUCGGAUUGUAAAGCACUUUAAGUUGGGAGGAAGGGCAGUAAGUUAAUACCUUGCUGUUUUGACGUUACCAACAGAAUAAGCACCGGCUAACUUCGUG
rnacentral:rRNA from 1 species